GACGAACGCUGGCGGCGCGCUUAACACAUGCAAGUCGAACGGAAAGGCCCUGCUUGCAGGGUGCUCGAGUGGCGAACGGGUGAGUAACACGUGGGUGAUCUGCCCCUUACUUUGGGAUAAGCCUGGGAAACUGGGUCUAAUACUGGAUAGGACCAUGCUGUAGGUGGUGUGGUGGAAAGAUUAGUUUCGGUAAGGGAUGAGCUCGCGGCCUAUCAGCUUGUUGGUGGGGUAAUGGCCUACCAAGGCGUCGACGGGUAGCCGGCCUGAGAGGGUGGACGGCCCCAUUAGGACUGCGAUCCAGCCCAGACUCCUACGAGAGGCAGCAGUGGGGAACAUUGCACCAUGGGCGCAAGCAUGAUGCAGCGACGCCGCGUGGGGGAUGACGGCCUUCGGGUUGUAAACUCCUUUCAGCCAUGACGAAGCCCUUGUGGUGACGGUAGUGGUAGAAGAAGCACCGGCUAACUACGUG
rnacentral:rRNA from 1 species